GUCUUUUUGAAUUAAAUUUAAAGUCUAACCUGCCCACUGAAAAUUUUAAAUGGCCGCAGUAUUCUAACUGUGCAAAGGUAGCAUAAUCAUUAGUCUUUUAAUUGAAGGCUGGAAUGAAUGGUUGGACGAGAUAUUAACUGUUUCAUUUAAAUUUUUUAUAGAAUUUUAUUUUUUAGUCAAAAAGCUAAAAUAAAUUUAAAAGACGAGAAGACCCUAUAAAUCUUUAUAUUUUGUUUAUUUUAAUUAUAAAGAUUAUUUUUAUUAUAAUAAAUUAAAAUAUUUUAUUGGGGUGAUAUUAAAAUUUAAAAAACUUUUAAUUUUUAAAACCAUUAAUUUAUGAAUAAUUGAUCCAUUAAUAAUGAUUAAAAAUUUAAGUUACUUUAGGGAUAACAGCGUAAUUUUUUUGGAGAGUUCAUAUCGAUAAAAAAGAUUGCGACCUCGAUGUUGGAUUAAGAUAUAAUUUUGGGUGUAGCCGUUCAAAUUUUAAGUCUGUUCGACUUUUAAAUUCUU
rnacentral:rRNA from 1 species